CCUACGGGUGGCAGCAGUGAGGAAUAUUGGUCAAUGGACGCGAGUCUGAACCAGCCAUGCAGCGUGAAGGAAGACUGCUCUAUGAGUUGUAAACUUCUUUUAUAAAAGAAUAAACGGAGAUACGCGUAUCUGUCUGAAAGUAUCUUACGAAUAAGGAUCGGCUAACUCCGUGCCAGCAGCCGCGGUAAUACGGAGGAUUCAAGCGUUAUCCGGAUUUAUUGGGUUUAAAGGGUGCGUAGGCGGUUUGAUAAGUUAGAGGUGAAAGUCUGAGGCUCAACUUCGGAAUUGCAUCUGAUACGGGUCGGCUAGAGAGUAGUUGCGGUAGGCGGAAUGUAUGGUGUAGCGGUGAAAUGCUUAGAGAUCAUACAGAACACCGAUUGCGAAGGCAGCUUACCAAGCUACUUCUGACGUUGAGGCACGAAAGUGUGGGGAGCAAACAGGAUUAGAUACCCCUGUAGUC
rnacentral:rRNA from 1 species